rnacentral:rRNA from 1 species
UACGGAGGGGGCUAGCGUUGUUCGGAAUUACUGGGCGUAAAGCGCACGUAGGCGGCUUUGUAAGUUAGAGGUGAAAGCCCGGGGCUCAACUCCGGAAUUGCCUUUAAGACUGCAUCGCUAGAGUUGUGGAGAGGUAAGUGGAAUUCCGAGUGUAGAGGUGAAAUUCGUAGAUAUUCGCAAGAACACCAGUGGCGAAGGCGGCUCACUGGCCCGAUACUGACGCUGAGGCACGAAAGCGUGGGGAGCAAACAGG